rnacentral:rRNA from 1 species
AGAGUUUGAUCCUGGCUCAGAACGAACGCUGGCGGCGUGCCUAACACAUGCAAGUCGAACGGGAUUAGGGGCUUGCUCCUAAUCUAGUGGCGCACGGGUGAGUAACGCGUAGAUAAUCUGCCUGAUGAUCUGGGAUAACACUUCGAAAGGGGUGCUAAUACCGGAUAAGCCCACGGGGUCUUUGGACUCUGCGGGAAAAGGGGGGGACCUUCGGGCCUUCUGUCAUCAGAUGAGUCUGCGUACCAUUAGCUAGUUGGUAGGGUAAUGGCCUACCAAGGCUACGAUGGUUAGCUGGUUUGAGAGAAUGAUCAGCCACACUGGAACUGAGACACGGUCCAGACUCCUACGGGAGGCAGCAGUGGGGAAUUUUGCGCAAUGGGCGAAAGCCUGACGCAGCAACGCCGCGUGAGUGAUGAAGGCUUUCGGGUCGUAAAGCU